CUGAACACAAGGCUUGUGUCCACUUUGUCCAACAGCCACCAAAUACAGAGAGAAGAAGAAGAGUGCAUUGAGAAAAGACGAAGGUGAAGAGGUCACUUCAGUAGUGUUGGGAAUUAGGAGCGCAGAUAAAGUCAGAAAUGCCAGUCCCUGACAUCAAAAUUCAAAUUACGAUCAAUUCAGUUUCUACAUAAAGAAGCCACAAUCUAUCUCAAAAUUGAGGUUGAAAUGAAUCUGAAAGAUCGAAAAAGAAGAGACAGAACAAGACGAACCAGUACGUAGAUAAAAGAAGCGAUGAGUAUUGUUCGGUACCGACCGAGAAAAGCGUCAGCGACAAAAGCUCCAAGAACAGGAAGAAUAGUUGAAACUCCCGACCAAGCGUUGACAUUAGCCGCAGCAACCGCCGUAGAUUGACCAAGCGGUCCAGUCAAGUAACUUAUCAAGUUUGAUCCGAUCCCAUAGUGAGCGAACCUCUCCGCCACCUCCACACCUGCCAAAAUAAAAUAAAAAGAGUCCUCAAGAGAUUCAAAAAAUGAAGUUCAAGAAAACAGAGCAGCUCGUGAUCAGAGCUUUACCGAUUAUGAACCAUGCAGCUCUCCAUCUACCGGUAUUAGUUCUUGUAGCGGCGAAUCCACGGUGGUCCACGGCGUCGAUAACGCUUUCUUCUCCAGAAGUAGCCAUUUGGAGAAAGACUACGAACAAGAUAUUAAUUUAGUAACACUUGCCUUACGAAAUAUAUCAAAGUAAGUGAACACUUGGACUGCACCAUUUAAAUUUUCUUGUCUCUUAUGGGAAAGUGAAGUUGUAUACAAAACGAGUCUUUAUUUAUUAUUUUUAUUUUUUUCCUAUACACAUAUGUUUCUCCGCUGGUCAAUAAUUUUUGUAACUACACAUUUUCAUUUUUUUCCCCCUAUAUAGAAUAUGUCACACAACAAGUGAAUAAUUUUGGUAACUACACUUGGUCCACCCGGCGAUAGAUAUACGACCUGGAAAUGAACCAGAACGUAAGGAAACCAACGGCACUAAGAACCGCAAGUAACCAAUAGAAGCAAUCGAGAUGAGCUUUGUUGAGAUUACUGUUGAACCAGCUCUCUCCAUCAUCUCCUCCAGUGGCUAAGUCGAUGAGAGAGAUGAGUAAGCUGCUCAAUAAGCUUCCCACGCCUAACACGCUUAAGUAAAGCGAAAGACCGAUGCUUCUCAGCUCAGUGGGAACUUGGCUGUAGAAGAACUCUUGCAUUCCCACUAUAAAGUAUACGUCGGCCAAUCCCAGCAACAGAUACUGAGGGAUUAACCACCAUAUCGACAUUGGAACAGUUGCUUCGGGUUGGUCUAUAAGCCCGUGUUCUUUCGCAGUCUCGAGCCGCUUUGACUCGACCAGAGCUGCAAUUACCAUAGUGAUACACGACAGUACCAUUCCAGUUCCGAUUCUUUUGAGCGUCGUGAUGCCACAAGGGUCUUUGGUUAUCGAUCUGGCGAUUGGGACGAAAACACGGUCGUAGAUGGGGACAAAGAGGACAAUUGAUAUGCCAAUAAAGACUUGAAGAGAAGCAGGUGGGAUCUUCACACCAGGGAGAAUUGUUCUUUCCAUUGUGACACCUUGCUUUGUGAAAAAUGUCAAGUACUGCGCAUAGGGUAUGGCGUAAGCCAGAGUUGUAAGCCAUACUGGAAUUAGCCUGAUGAGAGCGGUGGCAUCUUCAACAUCACUAGACUUACAUGACUUUUCUCCUUCAGCAGAAUCAUUGGGAACAAGCAAAGCUUUGUUGAGGAAACUGUCACAAGAAAGUGGAUUAAAUUCAUAAUCACACAACAACAAGGCUUUCGAACCAUAGCCUACGAUAACUAUCGCUAUAUAUUUUGAACAUACCUCAGCUUCUCUGGAGAUAAAUUUGCCUCCAACGCAUCUCUGCCCAAUUCUGAGGAGCUCAAUCUUUGGUUCUUGAAUGCUACAAAGAAGACUCUAGCUAUCCUUGUAAACGGGUUGAUUUCCUCCUCUUCAUGUCUUGUUUUACUAUACCUAUAACUCUUUCUCCCUAACACGAAAAGAACAAGAGAGAUCACCAUGAACACACAUGGGAUUCCAAACCCAACCGCCCAGCUAAAUUCUUCUUGGAUGUACACAACCACUAGAAUCGCCAGGCAGAUUCCUGCAGACAUGCUAAGGUACCACCAGUUAAAAAAGGAGCUUCUGUCAAAUAUCUCUUGAGAGUCUUUUUCAUCAAACUGGUCAGCACCAAAAGCCUGAACACAAGGCUUGUGUCCACUUUGUCCAAUAGCCACCAAAUACAGAGAGAAGAAGAAGAGUGCAUUGAGAAAAAACGAAGGUGGAGAGGUCACUUGGGUACUAUCUUUGCUAGUCACAGGAACCAGAAACGCAGAUAAAGUCAAAAAUGCCAAUCCCUGACAUCAAAAUGCAGAUUCUUUCUCAAUCUAAUCCAAAAAUCCUAAAUAAAGAAUCGAUUUUUAUCAUUCGAUCUGAAUAAAGAUUCGAUUUUUAUCAUU
rnacentral:lncRNA from 1 species